rnacentral:rRNA from 1 species
CCUACGGGUGGCAGCAGUGAGGAAUAUUGGUCAAUGGUCGCGAGCCUGAACCAGCCAAGUCGCGUGAGGGAGGACGGUCCUAUGGAUUGUAAACCUCUUUUGUCGGGGAGCAAAAGCCGCCACGCGUGGCCUUCCGCGCGUACCCGAAGAAAAAGCAUCGGCUAACUCCGUGCCAGCAGCCGCGGUAAUACGGAGGAUGCGAGCGUUAUCCGGAUUUAUUGGGUUUAAAGGGUGCGCAGGCGGACGAUCAAGUCAGCGGUAAAAUUGAGAGGCUCAACCUCUUCGAGCCGUUGAAACUGGUGUUCUUGAGUGAGAGAGAAGUAUGCGGAAUGCGUGGUGUAGCGGUGAAAUGCAUAGAUAUCACGCAGAACUCCGAUUGCGAAGGCAGCAUACCGGCGCUCAACUGACGCUCAUGCACGAAAGUGUGGGUAUCGAACAGGAUUAGAUACCCGGGUAGUC